rnacentral:rRNA from 1 species
AUUGAACGCUGGCGGCAGGCCUAACACAUGCAAGUCGAGCGGAUGAGGGGAGCUUGCUCCUGGAUUCAGCGGCGGAAGGGUGAGUAAUGCCUAGGAAUCUGCCUGGUAGUGGGGGAUAACGUCCGGAAACGGGCGCUAAUACCGCAUACGUCCUGAGGGAGAAAGUGGGGGAUCUUCGGACCUCACGCUCUCAGAUGAGCCUAGGUCGGAUUAGCUAGUUGGUGGGGUAAGGGCCUACCAAGCCGACGAUCCGUAACUGGUCUGAGAGGAUGAUCAGUCACACUGGAACUGAGACACGGUCCAGACUCCUACGGGAGGCAGCAGUGGGGAAUAUUGGACAAUGGGCGAAAGCCUGAUCCAGCCAUGCCGCGUGUGUGAAGAAGGUCUUCGGAUUGUAAAGCACGUUAAGUUGGGAGGAAGGGCAGUAAGUUAAUACCUUGCUGUUUUGACGGUACCAACAGAAUAAGCACCGGCUAACUUCGUG